AGGCUACUGCUAUCGGAGUUCGGCUAAGCCAUGCGAGUCGAGGGUGCUCCUUCGGGGGUAACCCGGCGGACGGCUCAGUAACACGUGGAUAACCUACCCUUAGAACUGGGAUAACCCCGGGAAACUGGGGAUAAUACCGGAUAGGUCAUCGAUGCUGGAAUGCACGGUGACUCAAAGCUCUGGCGUCUAAGGAUGGGUCUGCGUCCGAUUAGGCUGUUGCCGGGGUAAUGUCCCGGCAAACCUGUAAUCGGUACGGGUUGUGAGAGCAAGAGCCCGGAGAUGGAUUCUGAGACGCGAAUCCAGGCCCUACGGGGCGCAGCAGGCGCGAAACCUUUACAAUGCACGAAAGUGUGAUAAGGGAACUCCGAGUGUCGGCAUAUAUGUCGACUGUCCAGAUACCUAAAAAGCAUCUGAUAGCAAGGGCCGGGUAAGACCGGUGCCAGCCGCCGCGGUAACACCGGCGGCUCGAGUGGUAGCCACUAUUAUUGAGUCUAAAGCGUCCGUAGCCGGUCUGAAAAGUCCUUUGGGAAAUCCUACAGCUUAACUGUCGGGCUUCCAAGGGAUACUCUUAGACUUGGGACCGGAAGAGGUUGGAGGUACUUCAGGAGUAGGAGUGAAAUCCUGUGAUCCCUGGGAGACCACCAGUGGCGAAGGCGUCCAACUGGGACGGGUCUGACGGUGAGGGACGAAAGCUAGGGGCGCGAACCGGAUUAGAUACCCGGGUAGUCCUAGCCGUAAACGAUGUGAGCUAUGUGUCAGUCACACUGCGAGUAUGACUGGUGCCGUAGGGAAGCCGUGAAGCUCACCACUUGGGAAGUACGGCCGCAAGGCUGAAACUUAAAGGAAUUGGCGGGGGAGCACCACAACAGGUGGAUGCUGCGGUUU
rnacentral:rRNA from 1 species